rnacentral:tRNA from 1 species
UCCCUGAUGGUCCAGUGGUUAAGACUCUGAACUUCCACUACAGGGGGUUCAGAUUUGAUCCCUGGUCAAGGAA